rnacentral:rRNA from 1 species
UACGUAGGGUGCGAGCGUUAAUCGGAAUUACUGGGCGUAAAGCGUGCGCAGGUGGUCAUGUAAGUCAGAUGUGAAAUCCCCGGGCUUAACCUGGGAAUUGCAUUUGUGACUGCAUGGCUAGAGUGUGGCAGAGGGGGAUGGAAUUCCGCGUGUAGCAGUGAAAUGCGUAGAGAUGUGGAGGAACACCGAUGGCGAAGGCAGCCCCCUGGGUCAAGAUUGACGCUCAUGCACGAAAGCGUGGGGAGCAAACAGG